UUCACAAGGCCACUUCAGUUCACUCGCUUUUGCUCUUUUGAAAUCAAAAGAGCAGAAUCCGUAUGACCCAGGGCCCUGUUGUUAAAGGAAUCGUUUCCCACAGAAAGCCAAUCGGUUCCCACUGUUGAGGGAGAAUGUACUGCAUUUCGGAUAAGAACCUUCGCCUACAAGGGCUGGAGAACCUGUCACGAACUGUAAUUUGUGCAAAACAACUGACCCCCAGGCUAGGACCAUAGUUGUCAAGAUGUCAGCCACUGAAGUUUCAGAGUAAUGCGUGAACCAAAGGCAAUAGGACAAUAAAGCAGUGGUAUAGCACACUUAGCCUGCAUUUGGCAACCACCAACUGUUCCAGGAGGCCGGCCAAGAAAGUACAGAAAUCAUUAGACUACAGUAUUUGAAGGGAGGGGAGAAGGGGAAAAUCGGUAAUUCGCAGUCGAGGCUGUGAUGUAAGGCGGAGUGCACACAGAGGGUGAUCUCACAGCGAUCUCUGGCACCGAAGACGCAGCGCUAUCCAGAGAAAGACGGGAAGGAAGCCGGAACACAUCUGGGAAGCGAUUCAAAUGAAAUGAUUAGCAUGUCUAAAUAUGCAUGAAUCCCCUCCUUUUAAUUAAUAUCGUGCGGAGCAGAUGAUGCAUAAGCAUGAUGGUGCUAUUAGCUAGUUCCUUAGCGAUGUGUAUUUUUAGAGCCAUAUUUUUAUUUGUAUUGUAUUUUUAAUUUUCUGUAUGACAUGACCUGUGAUCGUCAUCCGAUGAACAGUUCAGGGUGAGAACGGUAAUUGCAAUAUUUAUUUCAGAAGCAUUAAUGAAAGGUAUGUAAAUAUUGUUGUUGUUGUUGUUGUUGUUGUUGUUAAAAAUAAGACACUGCAUCUCUGAGUAAUAAAGUGUUCCUAGGGAGUGGUGACUAACUAACUGCCCUGAGUUUCCAUAUAGCCUAACCUAAGAGUUGUAGUCUAUAAUGAGUGAUGUCUGUAAAAUAAGGAAGUUAUAACUUCCUUCUGACUUAUAACCAAAAAAUGUCUGAAAAGAAAAAAAGAAGCUUUGUUAAACCUCAGUCUAAUGUAUCACAGUGCAGCAAAAAGAUGUCAAAAUUAAACUGGCUUCCCUUUAACUAUUUAUUACGUCAGGCGCUUUCAAAACUAACUUUUUAAAAGUUUUGUUUUCACUGCUUUAGUACUGGCAAGAGUGAUUAUCCAAUGCGGAGCCAACAUUCUCCCCUCUGGAUAAGAAAGACACACAGAAGGAAGUAGCUACUGUAUCUUACAUCACAGAGCAGGCAUUUAGCAGAUGCUCUUAUCCAGAGCAACUGACAUGGCUUACAUUCUUUGUGCAUACAAUCUAUUUACACAGCUGGAUACUUAUUGAAGCAAUUCACUUUAAGUACCCGUUUCCCAAAAAACAGGGAAGGUGCCUAAUCAGAAGUCUAGUUUAGUGACUCAAAAGACAAAUACUUACUGUAUGCUUACUCUAACGAUGCUGUUUCACACAGCUCUAAAGUUAUUGAAGCAUAAAAGUUGCUUUAAGUACUACGCAGAGCCACUUGGCAAGUGCACACCACUACUAAGCAUAAAUAGUCAUGAACUGGUUAUCAGUGCCUGUGCACACAGGGUGGCCACAGAGAGCGCUUAAGCAUGUUCGUUCAUCAUGUUCAGUGUACAGGCAAUGUGCAGAUCCACCAUCUUAUCUGAUUGGGCAAGCGGGUGACAAGCGCUUCUUAUUGGACUUGAAAAAAUGUGCAGUAAAAAGUUUUAAGCCCAGUUUAAACUACACAUUUUAUUUUGGUAAAUCCUA